GACGAACGCUGGCGGCGUGCCUAACACAUGCAAGUCGAACGGGGAGUUAGCAAUAACUCCUAGUGGUGAACGGGUGAGUAACGCGUAGACAACCUGCCUCUAAACUGGGGACAACACCGCGAAAGUGGUGCUAAUACCGAAUGUGGUAUCUUGAUCGCAUGAUUGAGAUAAGAAAGAUGGCCUCUACAUGUAAGCUAUCGAUUAGAGAUGGGUCUGCGUCUGAUUAGCUAGUUGGUGAGGUAACGGCUCACCAAGGCAACGAUCAGUAGCCGGUCUGAGAGGACGAACGGCCACACUGGGACUGAGACACGGCCCAGACUCCUACGGGAGGCAGCAGUGGGGAAUCUUCCGCAAUGGACGAAAGUCUGACGGAGCAACGCCGCGUGAGUGAAGAAGGUCUUCGGAUUGUAAAGCUCUGUCGUUUGGGACGAACGUAUCCUGUGUGAAUAAUGCGGGAUAAUGACGGUACCAAAGGAGGAAGCCACGGCUAACUACGUGCCAGCAGCCGCCGUAAUAC
rnacentral:rRNA from 1 species